UGCAUUUCCAACUGAGGUACCCUGCUCAUCUCAUUGGGACUGGUUAGACAAUGGGUGCAGCCCACAGAGGGGGAGCAGAAGCAGGAUGGGGCGUCACCUCAUCCAGGAAGUGCAAGGGGUUGGGGAACUCCCUCCCCUAACCAAGAGAAGCCAUGAAGGACUGUGCCUUGAUGAACAGUGCAUUCUGGCCCAGAUGCUAUGCUUUUCUUACAGUCUUGGCAACCCACACACCAGGAAAUUCCUUCGGAUUCUUUUUUGUCUCCUUCUCUGCAAGAGGCUGGCACCAGAUCACCUCCUGAGUAGAGCAGACAUUCCAAAGGAUGUCCUGCCAACAAUAAUGGAAAGCUGGAUACAACUGAAUAUGUAAAAUGG
rnacentral:lncRNA from 1 species